GAGAGUGCCUGUGUUUUGAACAUGAACAAAGAAUGGCAUAAAUUUGAUUGCAGGAACUAGAAGCUAAGGUAGAAGUGGACAGACUUAAGCUCCAACUCAAGAGAAUAAAAGAACAACAGGAACUGUAUCAUUCUGGAAAGCCAGCUCCUCUCAACAGCAAAGAUGGGGAUAUAAUCUGUCCAGUUUGUAACAAUGUUGGUAUGUUGUUUGACUUUAAGCAGUUGUCUGUGUGUAACCAAAUUUACCCCAACACUGCCACCUUUUAUGUAAAUGCUUUUACAGUGAAUUCGGGUGAAGGUAAUCCCAUAACUCAUGCAGAGAAUGUAAAAGUCAAUGGUAAAGCUGUUUAGGGCAAAUUACAACUUCUAAUAUCACUCUUCUUAAAACAGAGUUUGUCAAAGAGGAAGAUUAUUUACCAAAUUAGAGUGUGAAUAUUGUAAUCCUCUAUGAGUUUAUCGUAAGUGUGCCUUUAACUAGAAUCCAUCUGGAAUGAAAUGGUGUUAAACAUUAAGUUAUAGCUGGUGUAAGGAAGUUAUUGCCUAAGGAUCUUUUGACUGGGGAUGAUAUUAAAACUUUGUUCAGUCAAGUUGACUGAACCACUCACAGGAAAGAAAUAAUCCUGAACCUGUGUCUACUGGGGCAAGGAUUUGCCUAUGGAGCGUUUCUCCAAAUGUUUGUAUGAGGAAGAUAGCUGUUAAUCUGUGCAAAGAAGCAGUGAAUAUGUGGAAAAAAUUCCUAAUUGGUAUCUCAGAGGUGAAUCUGGUAUUAGAUAAGGCUCAGGGAGAUGUUUCUCUAGAGCAAAUUAAAGUUGGUGAUCAGUUUAAAGUCCUAAUUGAGGAAGAAAAGGGUAAUUUUUUUAUGGGUGAUGGAAUGUUGGCUAGUAAAGUUUGGGAGAGUAAGUCUGACCAGGUAAAAGUGAUGUGCUUAAAGUAGCUCAGUGUAAUAAGACACUAUUUGUAGAAAACAGCAGUUUAUCUGUGUCAUGGAGUGUGGGGGAGUUAGGGCCCUGCACCCCUCUUCCUGAGAUUUACCGUGACUCUCAACCAGCCAGUAAAACAGAAGGUUUCUUAGAUGACAGGAACGCAGUCCCAAGCAGAGCGUGUAGGUACAACCAGAACCCCUCAAUCAAGUCCUUCUGGGGGGUUUAGGGAGCUUAGACCCCAGCUUGGGGUUCCCUGCGUUGCACCACCCAGCCCAAACUGAAACUAAAAAAACUCCUCCAGCAGCUUUCUCCCCCUCCCCUCUCCUUUGUUCAGUCUUCUGGGCAGAAGGUGUCACUUCUCCCAAUCCCCUUCCUGGCUCAGGUUACAGCUCAGGUAGCUUCCUUCAAGGGAAGUUCCCCAUCCGCAGUGCAACUUCCCUGCAACAUUCCCAGGUCAGUCCGCCCCUCUCCUUGCUCGUCACAAUCUGUUAAGGGAGGGAAAGGCAAAGAAAGUUUAGAUGAGCAUAGGCUGCCUUCUGAGCUGAUGGCUUUGUCUCAUCAGCAGUUUGGGAAGGCAAGGUUAGUGGAACAUGAGUAUCCCUAUACCUUACCUGUUACCAGUGUGGAGAAUUGUGACAGUGAAGGAAAUGUUCCUGUGUCUGUUAGGGGUAAUGACUUUCCUAUGAAGGGAGCUACCCCAAUCUCCAAGCAAUUGUCCAUGAACAUCCAUAUGUGCUGGGACAAAGGAAAGGAUAUCCCAAGCUGUUUGUCUGUUAAAGGGGAAUGUUUCUCCAGUUCUUUUCCGUCUGUCUGUACAGCAGACAGAAGAAGCCUGUCAGCCUAUGAUGGUUGAAAAUUUAUCAGUUGACCCAGAGCUGAUUCUGGAUACAACUAAAGCCCAGGAAGGAAGUGGUCUUGAAUUUGUGUCUGCUAGGGAUGAUGACAUUAUAACUAGGUUGCACCCAAUUAAUGUCAUAAAUAGCUCCCAGAGACCAAGCGAUUCUGGUGCUUCUAUUUUGUCUGUUGCUAGUAUGUUGCUGGGUAAAGAUAUGACAACCUUGUCUGAUCAGGGUGAUAUCAUAGCCAGGGCACAAGGAAAGCAUGAAGAUAAUUUGACUGUUUAUCCACUGAUAGUGUGGAAACUUGUAAUAAGGAAGAGAAUGCUUCUAAUCUUGUGACUAUGAAGUCUAGCAGUUUACCUGAAAAGGAGUUUGUGAAAAUCCUCCUAAUGGGACAGAGGUGAUUCUGGAUUUAAGUGAAACCCAGAAAGUGUCAGUCAUUGCUCAGGAAAAUGUUCCUUUAGAGCAAGUUCUAGGUGAAAGGGUAAGGGCAGAAUUUCUGUGAAAAAUGGGUUGUUGCUUAGAAAAAUUCCUGAAUCUUCAGGGUAGUUUUUGCAAGCAGUUUGCUGCAACUAAUGGGCAUGGAAGUGAUUUGAUUGAGUUAACUCAGGGUGAAUCACUGUAUAGAGAAAGAAACAGUUUGUUUGGGAGACUUGUUCCAGUUCCUAACUGCCAGAGUCUUUCUGAGUUGCAUAGAUCCACUGACUUUGCUUUAGAAAGACCCAAUGUGGAUAUCUUUGAAAAGGUUUCAAAUGAAAUAAAAAUUGUUAGGGAAUUUAAACAGCCCUAUAAGCUUAACCAGCUUGUUGGGGAGACAAUGUUGUUGGAACAUGAAUGUCUCCAUGUUAAUACUUUAAGUAAGCAAUCUGUGACUCAGGCACUGAGGAAAGAUCGGGUUACUGGGUUACAAGGAUGUGGGGGAGAGUAGGCAAACUCUCAUCUCUAGAUAUUUUGGAUAUGACUUGUAGUCUCUUAGCCCUGGUCUACACUACGAGUUUAGGUCGAAUUUAGCAUCGUUAGAUUGAUUUAACCCUGCACCCGUCCACACACUGAAGCCACUUUUGUCGACUUAAAGGGCUCUUAAAAUCGAUUUCUGUACUCCUCCCUGACGAGGGGAUUAGUGCUGAAAUCGACAUCGCCAGGUCGAAUUUGGAGUAGUGUGGACGCAAUUCAACGGUAUUGGCCUCCGGGAGCUAUCCCAUAGUGCUCCAUUGUGACCACUCUGGACAGCACUUUCAACUCAGAUGCACUAGCCAGGUACACAGCAAAAGCCCCGGGAACUUCUGAAUUUCAUUUCCUGUUUGGUCAGUGUGGCGAGCUCAUCAGCACAGGUGACCAUGCAGUCCCAGAAUCGCAAAAGAGCUCCAGCAUGGACCGAACAGGAGGUACUGGGUCUGAUCACUGUUUGGGGAGACGAAUCCGUGCUAUCAGAACUCUGUUCCAAAAGACAAAAUGCCAAAAUAUUUGAAAAAAUCUCCAAGGGCAUGAUGGACAGAGGCUACAACAGGGACCCGCAGCAGUGCCAAGUGAAAAUUAAGGAGCUCAGGCAAGCCUACCAAAGAGGCAAAUGGCCGCUCCAGGUCAGAGCCCCAGACAUGCCUCUUCUAUGAUGAGCUGCAUGCAAUUUGGGGGUGGGGGGGUUUCCACUACUCCACCCCUGUCUGUGGACACCUGCAAGGGGGGAGUCUCAUGCAACAGGGAUGAGGAUUUUGGGGACGAGGAAGAUGAGGAGGUGGAGGAGGAUGAGGAUAGCGCACAGCAGGCAAGCGGAGAAACCAUUCUCUCCGACAGCCAGCAACUGUUUAUCACACUGGAGCCAAUACCCUCCCAACCGUCCCAGGCGGGCUCACAGACCAUGAAGCUGGAGAAGGCACCUCUGCUGGAAAUGUUUCAACGCUCCCCCAUCAUCUCCGUCUCAGAGGCUAGCGCAGAUAAGAAGGCAAAAAAAAUCCACUUGCAAUGAAAUGUUCUCUAAGCUCAUGCAGUCCUCCUGCACUGAAAGCGAUCAGCAGAAUGCAUGGAGGCAAACAAUGUUAGAGUCCAGGAAAGCAGAAAAUGAAUGCGAGGACAGGGGGGCCGAGUGAGAUGAGAGGUGGCGGGAGCAAGAUGAGAGGUAGUGGCAGCGCGAUGAGAGGAGGCAGGCUGCAAUGCUGAGGCUCCUGGGGGAUCAAACUGAUAUGCUCCAGUAUCUGGUGGAGCUUCAGGAAAGGCAGCUCAGACCGCCGCUGCAGGAAAGGAGCACAGGCUGCCGCUGCAGCCCCUGUGUAACCGCCUGCCCUCCUCCCCAAGUUCCAUAGCCUCCUCACCCAGAUGCCCAAGAACAUGGGGGGGGGAGACUCCGGGCACCCAACCAUUCCACCCCAGAGGACUGCCCAAGCAACAGAAGGCUGGCAUUCAAUAAGUUUUGAAGUGCAGUGUGGCCUUGUCCUUCCCUCCUCCCCUCAUCCACCACCCCACCCAGUGCUUCCCUCCUCCCCUACCCCUCCCGGGAUACCUUGGCAGUUAUCCCCCUAUUUGUGUGACAAAUUAAUAAAGAAUUUUUUUGAAACAA